rnacentral:rRNA from 1 species
AGGGCGGGACACGUGUUAUCCUGUCUGAAUAUGGGGGGACCAUCCUCCAAGGCUAAAUACUCCUGACUGACCGAUAGUGAACCAGUACCGUGAGGGAAAGGCGAAAAGAACCCCUGUGAGGGGAGUGAAAUAGAACCUGAAACCGUGUACGUACAAGCAGUAGGAGCACCUUCGUGGUGUGACUGCGUACCUUUUGUAUAAUGGGUCAGCGACUUAUAUUCAGUGGCAAGGUUAACCAUCUAGGGGAGCCGUAGGGAAACCGAGUCUUAACUGGGCGCCAUAGUCUCUGGAUAUAGACCCGAAACCGAGUGAUCUAGCCAUGGGCAGGUUGAAGGUUGAGUAACAUCAACUGGAGGACCGAACCGACUAAUGUUGAAAAAUUAGCGGAUGACUUGUGGCUAGGGGUGAAAGGCCAAUCAAACUCGGAGAUAGCUGGUUCUCCCCGAAAGCUAUUUAGGUAGCGCCUCGGACGAAUACUACUGGGGGUAGAGCACUGUUAAGGCUAGGGGGUCAUCCCGACUUACCAACCCUUUGCAAACUCCGAAUACCAGUAAGUACUAUCCGGGAGACACACGGCGGGUGCUAACGUCCGUCGUGGAGAGGGAAACAACCCAGACCGCCAGCUAAGGUCCCAAAUUACAGCUAAGUGGGAAACGAUGUGGGAAGGCUUAGACAGCUAGGAUGUUGGCUUAGAAGCAGCCAUCAUUUAAAGAAAGCGUAAUAGCUCACUAGUCGAGUCGGCCUGCGCGGAAGAUGUAACGGGGCUAAGUUGUAAACCGAAGCUGCGGCAAUGUUCUUUGAACAUUGGGUAGGGGAGCGUUCUGUAAGCCGUUGAAGGUGUGUUGUAAAGCAUGCUGGAGGUAUCAGAAGUGCGAAUGCUGACAUGAGUAACGACAAGGGGGGUGAAAAACCUCCCCGCCGGAAGACCAAGGGUUCCUGUCCAACGUUAAUCGGGGCAGGGUAAGUCGACCCCUAAGGCGAGGCCGAAAGGCGUAGUCGAUGGGAAACGGG